UACAGAGGGUGCAAACGUUGUUCGGAAUUACUGGGCGUAAAGCGCGUGCAGGCGGCCUUGCAAGUCGGACGUGAAAUCCCACGGCUCAACCGUGGAAGUGCAUUCGAAACUGCGAGGCUGGAGUCCUGGAGAGGAAAGUGGAAUACUCGGUGUAGAGGUGAAAUUCGUAGAUAUCGAGUGGAACACCGGUGGCGAAGGCGGCUAUCUGGACGACAACUGACGCUGAGGCGCGAAAGCCAGGGGAGCGAACGGG
rnacentral:rRNA from 1 species